rnacentral:rRNA from 1 species
AAUGAACGCUGGCGGCAGGCCUAACACAUGCAAGUCGAACGGAUCCUUCGGGAUUAGUGGCGGACGGGUGAGUAACGCGUGGGAACAUACCCAAAAGUACGGAAUAGCCUCGGGAAAAUGGGAGUAAAACUGUAUGUGCCCGAAAGAGGAACGAUUUUUCGCCUUUGGAUUGGCCCGCGUGUGAGUAGGUAGAGGGUGAGGUAAUGGCCUACGAAGCCGUCGAUCCAUAGCUGGUGUGAGAGGAUGAUCAGCCACACUGGGAGUGAGACACGGGCCAGACUCCUACGGGAGGCGGCAGUGGGGAAUCUUAGACAAUGGUGGAAACCCUGAUCUAGUCAUGCCGCGUGAUCGAUGAAGGCCUUAGGGUUGUAAAGAUCUUUCAGGUGGGAAGAUAAUGACUGUACCACCAGAAGAAGCCCCGGCUAACUCCGUGCCAGCCGCCGCCGUAA